CUCAGUAACGGCGAGUGAAGCGGCAACAGCUCAAAUUUGAAAUCUGGCCUCUUUGGGGUCCGAGUUGUAAUUUGUAGAGGAUGUUUCGGGUACCGCUCCGGUUUAAAUUUCUUGGAACAGAAUGUCAUAGAGGGUGAGAAUCCCGUCUUGGACCGGCGGUAGGGCCCAUGUGAAACUCCUUCGACGAGUCGAGUUGUUUGGGAAUGCAGCUCAAAAUGGGUGGUAAAUUUCAUCUAAAGCUAAAUAUUGGCCAGAGACCGAUAGCGCACAAGUAGAGUGAUCGAAAGAUGAAAAGCACUUUGAAAAGAGAGUUAAACAGUAUGUGAAAUUGUUGAAAGGGAAGCGCUUACAACCAGACUUGAGCGCGACGGUUCCCCCUUCCUUUUGGUUGGGCUACUCCGUCGUGUCCAGGCCAACAUCGGUUUUGGGGGUCGGUUAAAGGCGCCGGGAAUGUAUCUACCCUUCGGGCGUAGACUUAUAGCCCGGCGUGUCAUGCGACCUCCCGGGACCGAGGAACGCGCUUCGGCUCGGAUGUUGGCGUAAUGGUUGUCAGCGACCCGUCUUGAAACACGGACCAAGGAGUCUAACAUCUAUGCGAGUGUUUGGGUGUCAAACCCGGAACGCGAAAUGAAAGUGAACGGAGGUAGGAAGCCUUGAGGCUGCACUAUCGACCGAUCCUGAUGUCUUCGGAUGGAUUUGAGUAAGAGCAUAGCUGUUGGGACCCGAAAGAUGGUGAACUAUGCCUGAAUAGGGUGAAGCCAGAGGAAACUCUGGUGGAGGCUCGCAGCGGUUCUGACGUGCAAAUCGAUCGUCAAAUUUGGGUAUAGGGGCGAAAGACUAAUCGAACCAUCUGGUAGCUGGUUCCUGCCGA
rnacentral:rRNA from 1 species